ACCAGAGUGUAGGCUGAGUUCCUUAUUUACUGGCUAUCAUUCUUAUGGGUGCCAACAAUAGCAAAGACAUACAUUUAAUCAAGCUUUGUGAGGUAUUACUUUAUGGCACAAGAAGCUUAUAGCAGAAAGAGCAUAUUCAGGCAUUCUGAGUCACCAAGUAAUUAUCAGCCACAAUCGUGAAUCGUAGCUGGUUCUGAAGGUAUCGAAGGCUUCAACCUGCUCAUGGAAAUGGGGUGUGUAUAUUAGCAAUAUGUACAACUUCAUGAGAGGUUUGCUUCAUUUUGUCAGUGAAAGCAAACCAGAAAAUAAUGCCAGCAAGGAUGUAAAUGUAGGUUGCAAAUAACAUGCAAAGAGACCUGCAGGGGAACAAGCUAACUGAUCAAAUCCCGGAUGAGAUUGACUCUCUGUUAAAUUUUGUUUUGAUGUUUCUAUGCCUCUCUUUUGGACAACAGACUUCAGUAGUCUAUGCAUUGUUAUUGUGU